GACGAACGCUGGCGGCGUGCUUAACACAUGCAAGUCGAACGGAAAGGCCCUGCUUGCAGGGUGCUCGAGUGGCGAACGGGUGAGUAACACGUGGGUGAUCUGCCCCUUACUUUGGGAUAAGCCUGGGAAACUGGGUCUAAUACUGGAUAGGACCAUGCUGUAGGUGGUGUGGUGGAAAGAUUAGUUUCGGUAAGGGAUGAGCUCGCGGCCUAUCAGCUUGUUGUUGGGGUAAUGGGCUACCAAGGCGUCGACGGGUAGCCGGACUGAGAGGGUGGUCGGCCACAUUGGGACUGAGAUACGGCCCAGAAUCCUACGGGAGGCAGCAGUGGGGAAUAGUGCACAAUGGGAGCAAGACUGAUGCAGCGACGCCGCGUGGGGGAUGACGGCCUUCGGGUUGUAAACUCCUUUCAGCCAUGACGAAGCCCUUGUGGUGACGGUAGUGGUAGAAGAAGCACCGGCUAACUACGUG
rnacentral:rRNA from 1 species